AUCGAGAAUGCCUUAAAGAAUGGCAUUCUCACAAAGGACUUUUCCAGGAACCUGAGCGUUCUGUGCCCUGAAACCCCACCUGAGGAAACCUGCGUACUUGGUGCUUCUUGUCAGCACCUCAGAGACCUUCUGCUUCCCAACAACCAUCUCUCUCCUGGAGAAUUAUCCCAGUCUCACACUGGGGAAUGCCCAUGAGGUAUGGGUGUGAAGUAAUGAUUAAGACACGACUGCAGAAUCCCACAAGACAAGUACGGGAGGAAUUUCAGCAGUAAUGAGGGGAAAAUAAUGGCUUGCCACACAUGUGAAUCUCAUUUUUGUUUGGAUGGAUUCAUUCAUUUAUCCAAAUCUAUCUAUAGAAGGAAAACCUUUUAUAGAUAGACUAGCCAAUACAUUACGAAAACAGUGGUGCUCUAUUUCUAUUAAAAAUGUUCCUGUCAUGUGACUGUGUCCGCCUUAAUGUCCCAACAUUGAAAUCCCAUCUUCAAUAUUGCUUUUGGGUUAUUUCUGUUGUUGUGUGUAUAACUUUGCCAAGUGUAUAGAGAAAGUGUUCAGUCUUAGUGUAAUUGGUCAUGGUCAGCAGACACAAACAUGACACUGGUGUAAUAUGCUCAUUGAAUGUUAAGGAAAAGUGUGGGAUUAUUUUAAUAGUUAAUAAAGAACUAGUGUCUUCAUUGGCUCUGUAAUAA